GUAGUCCACGCCCUAAACGAUGCAUAUUUGGUGUGGGUCAUUCAGUUGAUCCGUGCCGGAGCUAACGCGUUAAAUAUGCCGCCUGGGGAGUACAGUCGCAAGGCUGAAACUCAAAGGAAUUGACGGGGGCCCGCACAAGCGGUGGAGCAUGUGGUUUAAUUCGACGCAACGCGAAGAACCUUACCUGGGCUCGAAAUGCUACGGACCAGCUUAUGAAAGUUUGCCUUCCCGCAAGGGACCGUAGUAUAGGUGCUGCAUGGCUGUCGUCAGCUCGUGUCGUGAGAUGUUGGGUUAAG
rnacentral:rRNA from 1 species